CUCAGAACGGCUAACUUCACCCAAAAUCAUCUGUCAUCCCGCACGGUCACUCUCCUUCUCUGAGUUAUCCAUAGGCGUCGUGCUCAACCAGGGACGUCACGGGGAAGUGUGGGCACCCAGAGAGCGACACACCGUGUAAAUUUGCCUCCGAAUAAAUAUGUAUGUGUGUCGGUCCACUGAAAGUAAAGUCUCGCAAAUAUUUUCAGAGCGGAACAUGUUCUUUCUGUCUGUGACCUCGUUAGAGUGCGCGUCGUGUGUAGUCAAAAGUUAAAAAGUACCAAAAGUUAUACGUAUUACGAACACUAAAAGUAGUACGGUGCGGUUAUUAAAAAUUAGUACGAUUAAGAAAUUGUUAAAAGAACAUAAACAGUGUGAACAGAACUAAACAAAAAAGCAACAAAGAAAAGGUAAAUAACUGAACAACAAAAACAGUAGAUUUGUAAACCACGUGGACUAUGUAAACUUUGUUAUGUCACUGGUACUAUAACCCUUCUUGGCAGGUCCAAGAGGGCCUUUUCUUAUUUUGU